UACGUAGGUCCCGAGCGUUGUCCGGAUUUAUUGGGCGUAAAGCGAGCGCAGGUGGUUUAUUAAGUCUGGUGUAAAAGGCAGUGGCUCAACCAUUGUAUGCAUUGGAAACUGGUAGACUUGAGUGCAGGAGAGGAGAGUGGAAUUCCAUGUGUAGUGGUGAAAUGCGUAGAUAUAUGGAGGAAAACCGGUGGCGAAAGCGGCUCUCUGGCCUGUAACUGACACUGAGGCUCGAAAGCGUGGGGAGCAAACAGG
rnacentral:rRNA from 1 species